GAUGAACGCUAGCGGCAGGCUUAAUACAUGCAAGUCGAACGGCAGCACGGACUUCGGUCUGGUGGCGAGUGGCGAACGGGUGAGUAAUACAUCGGAACGUGCCCAAUCGUGGGGGAUAACGUAGCGAAAGCUACGCUAAUACCGCAUACGAUCUAAGGAUGAAAGCGGGGGAUCGCAAGACCUCGCGCGUAUGGAGCGGCCGAUGGCAGAUUAGGUAGUUGGUAGGGUAAAGGCCUACCAAGCCGACGAUCUGUAGCUGGUCUGAGAGGAUGAUCAGCCACACUGGGACUGAGACACGGCCCAGACUCCUACGGGAGGCAGCAGUGGGGAAUUUUGGACAAUGGACGCAAGUCUGAUCCAGCCAUUCCGCGUGCAGGAUGAAGGCCCUCGGGUUGUAAACUGCUUUUGUACAGGGAAGAAAUCCUCUGGGUUAAUACCCCGGGGGGAUGACGGUACCUGAAGAAUAAGCACCGGCUAACUACGUGCCAGCCGCCGCCGUAAUAC
rnacentral:rRNA from 1 species